rnacentral:rRNA from 1 species
AGGACGAACGCUGGCGGCGUGCUUAACACAUGCAAGUCGAGCGGAAAGGCCCUUCGGGGUACUCGAGCGGCGAACGGGUGAGUAACACGUGAGCAACCUGCCCUUAGCUCCGGGAUAGCUCCGGGAAACCGGAAUUAAUACCGGAUACAACCACGGCCGACAUCUGCUGUGGUGGAAAGGAUUCCGGCUAAGGAUGGGCUCGCGGCCUAUCAGCUAGUUGGUGGAGUAACGGCCCACCAAGGCGACGACGGGUAGCCGGCCUGAGAGGGCGACCGGCCACACUGGGACUGAGACACGGCCCAGACUCCUACGGGAGGCAGCAGUGGGAAUAUUGCGCAAUGGGCGAAAGCCUGACGCAGCGACGCCGCGUGGGGGAUGAAGGCCUUCGGGUUGUAAACCCCUUUCAGCAGGGACGAAGCGAGAGUGACGGUACCUGGGGAAGAAGGCGCCGGCUAACUACGCGCCAGCAGCCGC